rnacentral:rRNA from 1 species
AACGAACGCUGGCGGCAUGCCUAACACAUGCAAGUCGAACGAGACCUUCGAGUCUAGUGGCGCACGGGUGCGUAACGCGUGGGAACCUGCCCUUAGGUUCGGAAUAACUCCCCGAAAGGGGUGCUAAUACCGGAUAAUGUCUUCGGACCAAAGAUUUAUCGCCUUUGGAUGGGCCCGCGUUGGAUUAGCUAGUUGGUAGGGUAAAAGCCUACCAAGGCGACGAUCCAUAGCUGGUCUGAGAGGAUGAUCAGCCACACUGGGACUGAGACACGGCCCAGACUCCUACGGGAGGCAGCAGUGGGGAAUAUUGGACAAUGGGCGAAAGCCUGAUCCAGCAAUGCCGCGUGAGUGAUGAAGGCCUUAGGGUUGUAAAGCUCUUUUACCCGGGAUAAUAAUGACAGUACCGGGAGAAUAAGCUCCGGCUAACUCCGUG